AUUAUAGCAGCCAAGAUGCUUGGGAUAAAAAAGCCUAGGAAGACCAAGCUCUUGGCUGUCCAGAAUCUAAGGAGCUUGAUCCCACUUGACCCUUACAAACACCUUCUGAGUAAAUGCCAUUUUCUUGUUUUGCAGAUGAAGAAUCAGACAUCAAGACCAUAACCACUGAGCUACACCACCUCGUAAGACGUGUCUACAAGGGACAUGCAAAUGACUGAAGAGCCUCAUCCCAGAUCUGGAUGGAACCUGAGACCCCAAAUGCUUUGACCGUUUGGACUGAAGAGCACGGCUUCCACCCGGGAGGAAUAAAGAUCCCGCAUGGCCAGCAGCCCCAGUUUGAAGUCCUGGCCCUGCCUCUGAAGAGACAAAAAGAAGAGACGAGGCACUGACUGUUGGAGCUGAACAGUUUUUAACCUCUUGGAAUCAUACAAUGGAGAGUCAUUACUUCCGCUCCUUUCUUCAAGACAG
rnacentral:lncRNA from 1 species